rnacentral:lncRNA from 1 species
UCGAAAUUCAAAUCCUAAACCCUAAAACUCAACUCUAAAUCUUAAACCAUCAAUCCUAAACCCUAUAUUUUUUUUGAAAUACGAAACCUAAACCCUAAACCAUCAAUCUUAAACCUUUUUUUUUUUGAAAUACGAACCCUAAACCCUGAAACAUCAACUCUAAACCCUAAACCCUGAAAUAUCAACUCUAAACCUUAAAUCCCAAAACAUCAACUCUAAACCCUAAAUCCUAAA